AUUGAACGCUGGCGGCAGGCCUAACACAUGCAAGUCGAGCGAGCGGCGGACGGGUGAGUAAUGUAUGGGGACUGCCCGAUAGAGGGGGAUAACUACUGGAAACGGUGGCUAAUACCGCAUACUAUCGGAUAACCCAUAUGGGAUUAGCUAGUGGGUGGGGUAAAGGCUCACCUAGGCGACGAUCCUUAGCUGGUCUGAGAGGAGGAUCAGCAACACUGGGACUGAGCCACGGCCCAGACUCCUACGGAGGCAGCAGUGGGGAAUAUUGCACAAUGGGCGAAAGCCUGAUCCAGCCAUGCGGCGUGUAUGAAGAAGGCCUUCGGGUUGUAAAGUACUUUCAGCAGAGAGGCGUUAUUCGCAGAAUAAGCACCGGCUAACUCCGUGCCAGCCGCCGCGGUAAUUC
rnacentral:rRNA from 1 species